UCCGUCCGAUGCGAGCGCCACCGCUGAUCGCAUCCCGCCUCGCGCUGCCAAUUUUUAUGAGUAUCCGUUAUUCGUCUAGCAUCCUCAGCCUAGGCCUAGCGAGGUGGUCGCCCAUUAUGGGAUGUGUAUGGGGGCCUGGGGCAUCGUAUCGCCGCGCCCCGCGGUUCUUGUACCGGACUGUGCCUGCAAGCUACCUCGUAGCGGGCGGGCGGACGGACGGUCUGGAUCUGGAUGUGACUAGCGGUGGCCCUCGCAUCGGACGGU